UUGUAUCUUCUCUCUAAACCUGAUUUUACCUCUUCAUCUCCUACAAUCAAACUAGAACUUCAUCUUCCUCUCCCACAUUCAACCCCCAGCCGACACCCCUCUCCUUUUCGCACCCAAUCUCCUUCUCGACUUCAACCGGCCAACCACACAAACACCUCUCUACCACUCCCGUUCUCCUCUCCUUCGCCCUGCACAAACGGCCGACCACCACCUCAGUGGUGGCGGCGCACAAACAACAGCAGCAACAACCGCAUUCUUGCCGCAUAGAAGGUGGUGGUGCACGACGGUAGUAAAACGUCGGAACUGAUAACGGUGCUGGUGCUGUGCGACGGCUCACGGUGGUGUUUCAGGUUCGGUUCAGUCCCGGGUGUUUCGGAUUGUUCUUGGUGUCUCGGUUCAAACCUGGUUAACAUGGUCAACACUGGUCAGACCAAUCCGGCUCGAUGUUCGGUUCAGAGUUCGAGCCAACACCCGAGGCCGCCAGAAAGCUUCUUCCUCUCAUCUUCGGGUAGUUCUCAUUGUUUGGGGAUUUCUCAAUUCUUUACUCGUGCGUUAUUAC
rnacentral:lncRNA from 1 species